rnacentral:tRNA from 1 species
GGUGGUAUACCUCAAUGGUAAAAUACUUGCCUAGCAAGAAUAAUGAGUUCAAAUCCCAGUACCACCA